GCUGGUUUCAGCUGUGUACAUAAGUGGAAUAAUACAGAGAAGAUUAGCGUGGCCUCUGUGCAAGGAUGACAUGCAAAUUCAUGAAGCUUUUUACAUUUUA
ensembl:snRNA U6 U6 spliceosomal RNA